rnacentral:lncRNA from 1 species
CGGCAGCCGUUCCUCUACCCUUAUCUCUUCGCUGGUGAAGCUAUAAAAGGGGGUUGAGACGGAUCCCAUGGCAUAUCAUCUCCUCACAGGCCGAGUACCAGAGAAAUAAAAAAAUAAGGAGGAGAGAAAGGGAGGAAGGAAUCAGAAAAGAGAAGAAAGGGAUGGGAGCCCGCUGCUGUGCUGCUGCUGCCGUCUCCAGCUUCAUGGAAGGCUGAACUCCUCUCUAGGGCUGGAUGCAGCCCUAACACAGGGAUAAGGGUUUUAUAUUUUAUUUAUAUUCUUGGAGUUGUAUGAACUUAUUGUUUAUAAUGGAUAUCUUCUUUUGAAUCAUAUUUAAUUUCUGUGAUUUUAAGUAUGAUGUUCGUACAACUGUUCUUCAUGAUCACUCAGUAAAUAUAAGAUAGUCCAUGCUUAGGGAAGAUGCGAUGUGCUACCAUCUUAGAUUAGGGUAGACAUUUCAUGCCAACCGAAGAUGGAUUAUGCCCAAAUUACUUUUGUGAAUUUUUAUUUAAAUGCUUAUUAGGCUUGUAGCCAAUUUGCAUGUUUAUCCAAGAAUAAAUUAAAAUAUAAAUAACCCUUGUUCCGAUGUUAGUGGUGAAUUCCUU